GUGCUUGCUUCAGCAGCACGCAUACUAAAAUUGGAACGAAACAGAGAAGAUUAGCAUGGCCCCUGCACAAGGGUAACACACAAAUUUCUGAAGNGUUCCAUAUUUUU
rnacentral:snRNA from 1 species